GACGAACGCUGGCGGCGUGCCUAAUACAUGCAAGUUGAGCGAUGAAGAUUGGUGCUUGCCCCAAUUUGAAGAGCAGCGAACGGGUGAGUAACGCGUGGGGAAUCUGCCUUUGAGCGGGGGACAACAUUUGGAAACGAAUGCUAAUACCGCAUAACAACUUUAAACAUAAGUUUUAAGUUUGAAAGAUGCAAUUGCAUCACUCAAAGAUGAUCCCGCGUUGUAUUAGCUAGUUGGUGAGGUAAAGGCUCACCAAGGCGAUGAUACAUAGCCGACCUGAGAGGGUGAUCGGCCACAGUGGGACUGAGACACGGCCCAAACGCCUACGGGAGGCAGCAGGAGGGAAUCUUCGGCAAUGGACGAAAGUCUGACCGAGCAACGCCGCGUGAGUGAAGAAGGUUUUCGGAUCGUAAAACUCGGUUGGUAGAGAAGAACGUUGGUGAGAGUGGAAAGCUCAUCAAGUGACGGUAACUACCCAGAAAGGGACGGCUAACUACGUG
rnacentral:rRNA from 1 species